CGUGUCGUAGCGCAGUGGUAGCUGGAUGUAAUUGUACCCGAGAGGUCGUGGGAUCGAAUCCCCUCGGCACAC
rnacentral:tRNA from 1 species